rnacentral:rRNA from 1 species
GUCCAGACUCCUACGGGAGGCAGCAGUGGGGGAUAUUGCACAAUGGGGGAAACCCUGAUGCAGCGACGCCGCGUGGGCGAAGAAGUAUUUCGGUAUGUAAAGCCCUAUCAGCAGGGAAGAAGAAAUGACGGUACCUGAGUAAGAAGCACCGGCUAAAUACGUGCCAGCAGCCGCGAUAAUACGUAGGGGGCAAGCGUUAUCCGGAUUUACUGGGUGUAAAGGGAGCGUAGGCGGCCAGACAAGUCUGAAGUGAAAAUCCAGCGCUUAACGUUGGAAGUGCUUUGGAAACUGCCGGGCUGGAGUGCAGGAGGGGCAGGCGGAAUUCCUAGUGUAGCGGUGAAAUGCGUAGAUAUUAGGAGGAACACCAGUGGCGAAGGCGGCCUGCUGGACUGCAACUGACGUUGAGGCUCGAAGGCGUGGGGAGCAAACAGGAUUAGAUACCCGCGUAC